CCGAAAGGCAGGAGUGCCUGCAAGGGAGCGCGGAGACAGGUGGUGCAUGGCUGUCGUCAGCUCGUGUCGUGAGAUGUUGGGUUAAGUCCCGCAACGAGCGCAACCCUCACCUCUUGUUGCCAUCAGGUCAUGCUGGGCACUCUAGAGGAACUGCCCCGGUCAACGGGGAGGAAGGCGGGGAUGACGUCAAGUCAUCAUGCCCCUUACGUCCUGGGCUACACACGUGCUACAAUGGCCGGUACAAAGGGAUGCCACACCGCGAGGUAGAGCUAAACCCAAAAAGCCGGUCUAAGUUCGGAUUGGAGUCUGCAACUCGACUCCAUGAAGGAGGAAUCGCUGGUAAUCGCGUAUCAGCACGACGCGGUGAAUACGUUCCCGGGCCUUGUACACACCGCCCGUCACACCACGAAAGCCAG
rnacentral:rRNA from 1 species